AGAGUUUGAUCCUGGCUCAGAUUGAACGCUGGCGGCAUGGCUAAGACAUGCAAGUCGAGCGCGAAAGCCCCUUCGGGGGUGAGUAGAGCGGCGCAAGGGCGAGGAAUACGUUCCUACGUACCCCGAGGUCAGGGAUAGCCCAGGGAAACCUGGAUUAAUACCUGAUGUGGUCCUUCGGGAUCAAAGGCUUGCUGCCUCGGGAGCGGGGAACGUCCUAUCAGGUUGUUGGUGGGGUAACGGCUCACCAAGCCGAAGACGGGUAGCGGGUGUGAGAGCAUGACCCGCCGCAUCGGGACUGAGACACUGCCCGGACUCCUACGGGAGGCUGCAGUAACGAAUCUUCCGCAAUGCGCGAAAGCGUGACGGAGCAAUGCCGCGUGCAGGAUGAAGCCCCUCGGGGUGUAAACUGCUGUCAGGGUUUAGGAACACAAUGACCAGACCCAAAGGAAGGGCCGGCUAACUUCGUGCCAGCAGCCGCGGUAAUACGAAGGGCCCGAGCGUUAAUCGGAAUCAUUGGGCUUAAAGCGUACGUAGGCGGGCGCGCAGGCACCUUGUGAAAUCCCUCGGCUCAACCGAGGAAUUGCUUGGUGAACCGCGUGCCUUGAGGCAAGUAGGGGCUGUCGGAACGAUAGGUGGAGCGGUGAAAUGCGUUGAUAUCUAUCGGAACGCCGAAGGAGAAAUCAGGCAGCUGGGCUUGUUCUGACGCUGAGGUACGAAAGCGUGGGGAGCGAACGGGAUUAGAUACCCCGGUAGUCCACGCCGUAAACGAUGUGCACUAGAUCGAGGGGGUUCUGACACCGCUCUCGGUCGAAGCAAAAGUGUUAAGUG
rnacentral:rRNA from 1 species